rnacentral:rRNA from 1 species
AUCAACUUUCGAUGGUAGGAUAGAGGCCUACCAUGGUGGUAACGGGUAACGGGGUGUUAGGGCACGACACCGGAGAGGGAGCCUGAGAAACGGCUACCACAUCCAAGGAUGGCAGCAGGCGCGCAAAUUACCCAAUCCCGACACGGGGAGGUAGUGACAAUAAAUAACAAUACGGGGUUCUAAAGGAUUUCGUAAUUGGAAUGAGUACAAUUUAAAUCUCUUAACGAUCAACAAUUGGAGGGCAAGUCUGGUGCCAGCAGCCGCGGUAAUUCCAGCUCCAAUAGCGUAUAUUAAAGUUGUUGCAGUUAAAAAGCUCGUAGUUGAAUUUCGGGAUCAUCAGGUUGGUCGUGCCUCUGGUAUGUACUGAUUUCGAUGGUCCCUCCUUCUUGAAGAGCCGUAAUGCCAUUAAUUUGGUGUUGCGGGGAAUCAGGACUGUUACUUUGAAAAAAUUAGAGUGUUUAAAGCAGGCAAUCGCUUGAAUACAUUAGCAUGGAAUAAUGAAAUAGGACGUUCGAUCCUAUUUUGUUGGUUUCUAGGAUUGACGUAAUGAUUAAUAGGGAUAGUUGGGGGCAUUAGUAUUCAAUUGUCAGAGGUGAAAUUCUUGGAUUUAUUGAAGACUAACUACUGCGAAAGCAUUUGCCAAGGAUGUUUUCAUUAAUCAAGAACGAAAGUUAGGGGAUCGAAGACGAUCAGAUACCGUCGUAGUCUUAACCAUAAACUAUGCCGACUAGGGAUCGGAUGAUGUUAAUUUUUUAAUGACUCAUUCGGCGCCUUACGGGAAACCAAAGUGUUUGGGUU